rnacentral:rRNA from 1 species
CAAAGGUAGCGUAAUCACUUGUCUUAUAAAUAAAGACCAGUAUGAAUGGCUAAAUGAAUAUUUAACUGUCUCUUUUAACUAAUCAGUGAAACUGAUCUUUCAGUACAAAAGCUGAAAUAUAAACAUAAGACGAGAAGACCCUGUGGAGCUUCAAAUUUUUGUCAGGGCCUGUAUAAAAUGUGCUUAUGAUAAAGAAUUUUUAGUUGGGGCGACUUUGGAGUAAAACAUAACCUCCAAGAAAAGGCACCGCCUAAAUAAGGCCCACAAGCCAAAGACAUACGACCCAGUACCACUGAUCAACGAACCAAGUUACCCCAGGGAUAACAGCGCCAUCUUCUUCAAGAGUUCAUAUCGACAAGAAGGUUUACGACCUCGAUGUUGGAUCAGGACACCCAAAUGGUGCAGCCGCUAUUAAAGGUUCGUUUGUUCAACGAUUAACAGU